rnacentral:piRNA from 1 species
UGAGAAUCAGGCUCGUGAAUCUCAAAA